rnacentral:lncRNA from 1 species
AUGCCUCCCACUGAAGAGAACCUGCAGGAGCUGUGUAAGCCAGAACUGCUCCAGAGGCUUCUGAAGGUUGAAAGCCUGCCAAUACUCUGGCUGGUGCUCAGAUGCCUCGUAGUGCUGUCUGAUAGACCUGAGACGGCAAGAGAAAUACGGACCCUGCUUCCAGAAGUCAUGGAGACCCUGCGGUUUGCCAGCACACCCAUUACCCUGAAGGUGCUGAAUAUCUUCAGAAAUGCAAUGUACCAUCUGGGGAAGAGGCACGCCAGUCCCUUUGCUCUGGAGCUAGCUGAGAAGAUCCUGCCUCUUUUUAAUCAUGUGUCAUGUGAAGUGCGAGAAGGUUCCAUCCGCCUCUUCAAGGAUGUGAUGGAUGCUGUGGUGUGGCUUAAGAAGAGAAGCAUGAAGAAGACCGUGCGCAGGGGCCUGCUCCCUCUGCUCUUUCAGAUGAGUGACGAGACCCCGAGUGUAGCACAGGUACGAAUUUCAGACCUGACCAGUGUGCAGGCAGUGGUGUGCUGA